UAUUUUGGUCCAAAACAUAUUUAAAAUUUUUAAAUAAUUUUAAAAUAUUAAUAUUUUAUAAAUACAUUUUAAUAUUCAAAAUUUUUCACUCAUACAUUAUUUUUUUAAAAUUAAUAUUUUUAUUUUUAUUUUUUGAAAAUUUUAAACUUUUUAAUUAAUUAAGUAAAAAAAGGGGUGGCCCAAAGGCCGGCCCGGAUUGGCACGGCCCGUGCCGUUCGGCUGGGGGCCGUGCUAAGCUAGGGGUCCAAAAACUUUGGCCCGGCACAACCCGACUUUGGGGCUGGGCCGUGCCAGGCUGGCCUCGUGCAAAAUAUGCCCGGCACGGCCCACAUUACACCCCUACUAGGCUACUAGAAAGUAGGAACCCAAGGCUGGGAUCAUGUAAGCUAGUGUGCCCAUUGGGCCACUAAACGCCUACACAACUAAGGUUUAUUUUGGUAUUGAGGUCUAUCUGACGCUAUUAGAUAAAAUAGAGUUGGGAUAAAAGCAUAUAGAGAUAUACUUCUAGGUUCUCCGGUGAGACCACAGAAAAUAUAUCAUAGCCGACUCAUCGUGAUAUGCAUAAUGUAAUAUUAUGUACUGAAAUAAACAGAGUAUUUUUCCAUUAUACUUUUUCAUCUUAUGUAACACAAUCUUUCCACAAUUCCAAAUGAAGCCUAACUAGGAGUGAAAGAUAUGGAAAAGCUGUUGGAACUAAAUAAGACUCUGUCUGAGAUUACGAAGAAAUUAUGGUAUGUACAUUGAGAAAGUACGAAAAAAGUCGUGAGCCGAUUAUAAUAUAUUUCCUGCAAUUCCAUCGAAAACAGAGAAAAAUAUUUUUGUAUACUUUUGUUGUAACAUUGUUUUGUCUAUUGGCAUUAGAUGGGUCUCGAUACUAAACAAGUCCUAAGCUGAAUUUAUUGUUUUAAAUCAUACAUUUCUUGUAGACUUCUGGGUAGGAACUUCCUGUGCACUGCUAUUUAGCCAUCUAAUUAAGUUAUAUAUAUAUAUAUAUAUAUAUAUAUAUAUAUAUAUAUUUUGAAAGAUAGGUAGCACGCUACCCGUUUCGUUUAUUUCAUUUAUAAAUAAACUUAGCUGGAAAUGUGAAUCAACUAGGAUUCGAAUUUUGGUCUUGGGUACCAACAACCAAGCCCUUUGCCACUCGCUUUAGGGACAGUCGGUUUAAUUAAGUUAUAUAUUAGUCUUAGUGCCAUAAGGGCUAGGUGCAUUAGAAAGUUCCAAAUAAGUGCAAUUUGGUCAUCGGCUUUAGGUGGACCGUUGGAUUGCGUGAUUCCGCUAGAAUUUCUCUCUAAAUUGCAAAAGAAUUAUAAUCCAAGCUACCACAAAUUAGUAACCGCAUCAAAUCCUUAGUAACCUCCUCUCCCCUAUUUUGAUCCCUAUCAUUGUCCUUAAUUCUCUAUCACUGUCCUUUUUAUUGCGCCGCUCUUUUAGGAUUGAUGAGCCAAGGUGAGCUCGGUAUGUCUGUCUUUUUUUGUGCCACUUGUUACAGUCCACUUCCUUUAGUCGAAGUUCUAUGAUCUGUUGGUCUUUCCAUGCAACUCACGGCUUUUCCGGUGCUUCGAAAUUGUCCAUGGUCGAUUGGUUCUCCCAUCAAUUGAUUGGUAUACUUCCGAACCAUUAUUUUUCUUUCUAUCAGUUGGUCAUACUUUUAUCGCGGUCUCACUCAUGAUAAAUAGAGUCGUGCAUAUGUAUCUAUAUAUUUCUCCAAUCUUAGAGGACACUUUUCAAUAUUGUUUGCUUUUUAUCAACAGUUUACUUUUCUCCUCGUGUCCUUUUUUACUAUGUGCCCUUUAAUACCCAAUCAAUUAAUACGAUCUUAUGGUAUUCCACUAGUGAGGUUUGGCUUUCUUCUAGUAAUGCAAAUGGAUCUAGACUACUAGAGGUUCUCUCUUAAUUCGGUCGAAAUGAGUGAUAAGCGGAUGCCAAAAUAAAAAAAAAUAAAAACUUAUUUUGAAUCUGUCCUAAUGCGCUAAAGAAACGGAAUAAGAAGGGAACACUUCUUUCCCUUGAUAUCAAAUCAAAAAUCUAUUAAAAAAAAAAAAUCUGUUAUCGUUCCAAUCCGCUUUAAAUAGAGUUGUAAGUAAAGACAAAAAACAGAAUAACAAAAUCUGUUUUAAAUUCACCUCUACUCACAAAGAAACCUCUUAUUCCUGAAUUCGUCCUCCUAUUCUCUACCCACUGUAACAUCGGAUGAGUGUAUUAGUGUGUACGUCCAACCUAUGACUAACGAUAUUUAAAAUAUAUAUAUUUAAACUAAUUUAUAAAUACAGUAUAUUUUUUUUAUUGGUAUUACAUUAUUACUUAUAUAAUAACUUAAUACUGUUAUUUCAGUUUUACUUUAUAUAUAUAUAUAUAUAUAUAUAUAUAAUAUUAAGGUUUUAUUUGAAAUUGUGGGGAGAUUGCAUUACGUGCAGUUAGGAAGUACGAUAAAAAAAUAUUUAUUUUUUUCCGUAUGUAAUAUUGUGUUCCGCAUAUUGUGAUUAGUUGGUUACAAUAAAUUUUCUACGGUCCCACCGAAAAAUAUAAAGAUACAUUCUUAUAUACUUUUAUUCUAAUUUUAUUUUAUUUAAUAGAUAGAUUUUAAUACUAAACUAAGCAUAAAAUCUACGAGGAAUUGAAUAGACAAACAAACCGCUCCAAAUAAUAAGUUGCUGAACUAAAAUAAUAAUUGCUUCUUUUAUUAAUAUACUGUUUGUUGUGGGGCCCACCGCGGAGCUCUCCAUUUUAAUUGGCCAACACGGGUCCACGCGGAAUCAGUGGAUUUGGAUUCGCUUCGACCAUCUCAAAAGCACAAUAAAAUUUUAUUAAAUUAAUAAAAAUCCAAAUUAUUUGAAUUAUAUUAUAAUUAAUUAAAUCGAAUAAAAACAACAAAAGCAACCUCUUCUCUCUCGAUCUCUUCGCCCCCCCAUCUCCUCUCUCUCUUGCGGAUUCGAUUCGUAUUAUUUCGAUUCGUCGAGCAUUUAAAAGGUUCGAUCUCUCUCCUCAAUUUCGCCAAUUACUAUUAAUGAGAUUAUCGAGAUCUGAUUUGUAUUUCUCCAGAUCUCGAUUCAUCUGGAAAAUGCGAGGGUUUUUAUUUCUUUUCAAAUUUUUUCGAUAAUGUUACAGAUGAAUCAUUCUAAGCGUUAUUUUAUCGUGCAAAUUAAAAAUUUUGUGUUAUUAAGGCUCAAGGAUCCGAUGUUGUUGAUGAAGAAUGUGUAGUUUGUGAUGUUACUGUUUCUGCAGAUAACUUUUGGAGUAAUAAAUGAUGCCCCCCUGCAGAGUUUGGGAACUCCGAUUUGGCCUUGCGAAGUUUUAAUUUUGAAAUAUAUUACUCCAAAGCUUCAAAAUGUUGCAGAUUCUUUGUUCUAAGAUUAUUAAUUUAUUUUUUCGGAUUUAGGAUCUUUGGUUUGCUGAGGAUGACAUGAGAGAUAGACUAGAGACAUUUAAUUUGAAAAGCGACUGUUGAAGUAGUUGUCCUUUUAAAGUGAAAACGUCAUCUUUUAACUGGUCAAAUGAUGGAGAUGGAUGAAUUUUGCAAAUUGUGAACAUUUAGAUGGGUAUAUUGGAUAACUAAAACUUUGUAGGGAUGUAUAGGGUAUUGAUUCUCUCUAAAGAUUUAAGUGCGCAGAAGAAUAAAUAUGUUUGCAUAAUCGAGAUGUUGCGCGCCACUGCAAUGUUGUUGAGUUGUUCAUAUGUUGUUGUUUGUGCAUAAAUGAUCUCUGGUUUUAUUGGUGUGGUUAUAGAGAAGCAAUAGAGUGCUUUGUAAAACUAAAGAGGAAGGAUUACAUUAGGUAGUCCCUAUAGGAGGUACCCCUUUGGCUGAAAGAUAAGUUUGCCAGCAGAAACUUCGGUCGAUGUGUGCUUUAAACUAAUAUCAAAUUGAAUGUAUAGUCGGUGCUUGAUUAAUCAUCGAGGAAGUGACUUCUAGUAUACAAAAUUUUGAGUUUGGCUUCUUUGAUUGUUCAUAAGCUUAACCAAAACCAAAAUAUACACAUGAAAAAGAAUCUUUCGUAGUAAAACUGUGGAGCAUUGCUUUUGCCUAGUUCUGUUAUAUUGUAUUGUGUUUUCUUCACAAGAUAAUGACUGAAAAUAUUCAUAAUUUGGCUCUUAAUUCUCCCUUCCUGCUGCUUUCUCCUGUGAAAUAAUGAGUCACCCCUUCCAUUGAUAUGGGCGCUUCUGAGAUCCACAUAUAUGAUAUAUAAUAUGUGUCGUAUAUGCCCACACAUAUACGUACGUAUCAGGAAGGAAGAAAAUGUGGAUAUGGUCAUUAAGGGAACCCACCGGAGCCGUAGCGAAAGCGAGUCUUCAUAGGGCUAUUGUCACUGCUUAUGGACCCGAACCUGGGUGAUCUAUCCACGACCAGGAUGAAGCUUGGGUGAAACUAAGUUAUGUUGUAUGUUAGCUUGAUGUGGAUUACCCAAUUCUUCCGCAUGUGUUACUUUAAUGAUAUUUUCAGAUAGAUAACUUGUUAGCAUGUGCGGAAUCACUACUUUAUGUGAAGUAAAUUGAUAAUUUAACCUUGAUAAUUGGUCUGCUAUUUUGCAGGAAAUUGUUGACGAUAUUUCCUGAUGUUUUAUCAAUCGAGUAUCCGGAACCAGAGGGCUAAAAGCUCAAAGGUUAAAAGGAUACUUCAAUUCACCUUACUUCUCGGUGUUUCUCUAUGGCUUCUCUAUCAGAUGAAGCAUUCGCAUGAUAAGAAGGCUGAGUAUGAAGAAGUCGACCGCAGAAGAAUUAGCCAGCUAGACAGAGAGUUAUACCUGGGUCGCAAAGAGAAAGCGGGCUAUGAAAGCGAGCUUGAAAUAGAUAACCAUGAAAAGAAUUUUGAUGAGAUCAAUGAGAUCUCCAAAACAGAUGAAGAUAGUGGAGCUCAACCUCAUGUUUUUGAUCAUGACGGUGAAGAGAAGGAUGAAGAAAAUAUUUCCAAUAAAGAAAAUGCGGUCUUGCAGGAAGCAGAAAAAGAAAAGGAGCAACAUAGUAAUGAAGAUGAUAAGACUGAUUCUUAUAGUAAUGGUGGAGACGAAGCAGUUGGUAAUGGCACGAGUGAAGAAACUGAAGAGACCCUCAAACUUCCUAGUCAAGACGAGGAUGGAAAUAAUUACUCGGACCAAGACAAAAAUAGAAACGAAGUAGAUGGUCAUGAUGGUCAAAACUUCAAUAUCGAUGGGGAAAAUAGUGAUGAUGCACCGGGUAAAGUGUCUAACGAGGAAAACAUAUUAACCUCAGCUGAUCAAAUAGAGAAUGUGUCUCUCCCAAAAGAUCAAAGCAAACUGGAUGUAUCUAGUAAUGAGGAAGUUCAUGUAGGGGAGUCUGGUGAAUCUAAAGGAAGUAAUGAUUCUGAAUCCGAAACUACGAAUAAAAAUACGGAUGAAGCAGUUGAUGCUGGUGCGUCGAAAAACAAGCAACCCACCAAAGUAAAUCCUAGUGAAGAGAACAAUUCUAUGCCAACAUUUAAUGAUACUUCUAACGAGCAGACAAUUGAACCGCAGCAAGACAAUGUCAAUGCUAAUUCUGAGUAUGAGAAUCACGAAAUAAAAACAGCUGAGCUGCAAUCAGACAAUAAUUCUGAUGUUGUGACAACUAUCAAUGACCUGUCAGGAGAAGCAAAGACCAGCAACGAGAACAACAUAGAGAUGGCAACGAAAGAUGGGGCAUUCGAUUCGAAGCUAGUUGAGCCUGAAGGAAAUAAUGAUGUUAAUGCUAUCACUGAAGUCGCCACUAACAAUGGAGAAAAUAAAGAAGAAGAAGACCGGUCAGCUAGCAAGGAGGGCGAUAGUGCAGAGAAAGUUGGAGAGAAGGCUUCUGAGGUUGAGAAUGUCGGGGACAGUUCUUCAAAUGAACCCGAGAAUAAUGAGAUUACUAAUACUGUAGAUUCGAGUUCCUCUCAUCCGAAUGAGGAGGAUAUUUUAGAGAGAAAAGCCAAUGAGUCUUCCAAUGGCGAGUCAGGUGAAAAAGGAGAUGGUGUUUCAACAGUUGAGGAUACUGAUGAUAAUAAUGCUGAAGAGAUUAAGACUGAAUGGAAGCCCGAGGAUGGAACUAGCUCUGAAUCAGGUAGUAACCUGCCCCUUUCAGGUGACAGUGUAAAAGAAGGAACCGGGCAAGAAGGUCAUACAGAAUAAGAAUUAGUUGGUUAUUUGGUGGUCUAGAAGAAUUGGACGAUCUCGAAACGGAGAUGUUCCACUACGUCGAGUAGAAAUCGAGUGCGAAAGAGUUUCAGAUUUCUUAGGUAAAAUGUGUUUUCUAUCACUUGGUUAUUAGCAUUCUUUUAAAUUGGACCUAAUAGGAUAAUUAUGCCACAUUUUCAUGGAACUAAUAAAAUAGUUUGUCACGGAAUUUUGUCAUGUUUUCAUGAAUAACCUCUUUGAAGCGGUGUGUGUCCAUAAAAUUGUCAUUACAGUAUCAGGUUAGCGUGUAAUUUAUGAAUCGAAUUAGGAGCAGCUUACUUGGAGUUGAUUUCUCAGAAUUCGAAUUCAUGGUUAUCGCAAGUUCACCAUUUUUCAUAUACCAAUAUAGGUACUGUAUGGGUUGUGUUUAGAGUUACUUUGUGUGCCUUUAUAUUUUUUCCAUCAUCAAUCACUUUAUCAGAAAUUCCUUCCAGAUAGGGAAAAGAAAAAGGAAAGUAUGAUUCAUACAGAAACAAUAUUUUCGUUGAAAUUAAGAUGACAAUUACUGGGCUAUGCUGAUUUUCUCUCCCAUGCGCACAACACUAACUUGUGGACAAUAUGAUCACAGCACUAUCUAUAACUUUUGAUUGCCUAUGUGUGCCUUUAUUCAUUUUCUUAAAUUAAAGCUAUACUAUAGGUUUUGUUUUUUGCAUGAAUUCACAUUGACAAUUGUUUAGGGCUAUCCAGGAGACCUGAAGGCAGUGUUUGGUUCCGGAAUAGAGGGGAAUAAGCUCUUCUUACCCCUUUUGUUCCCAAAUAAUAUGUUUGGUAUCCGAAAACAGUAGUUCUCGAGUUCGUGUAAUAGGAACUGUUUUUUUUUUUUUUUGAGAGAAAGAUAGCACGCUAUCUGCUUCAUUCAUUAGGUAAAUGAACUUAGCUACAUAGGAUGAGACAGCUGGGGCCUCAGAAAGACAAAACGAAGAAGAAAGGGGAUAGAAAAAAAAGAGCAAAAAAGAAGAAGCAAAAAUAUUUGUCCGAACCAAAAGGAGUAGCAAAACAAGCGUCACCCUACUAUGCAAAAACUGGUUUCCCUGCAAAAAUCGGUUUCUCUGCAAAAAUAGGAACUGUUGUUCCAUCAUUUUCCCUAGAAUAUGCUUGUUCCCAGGUGGAAAUGAGGUUAAUUAAAGUUUAAAUUUAAUUUUAAUUAUGAUAUUGAAUUAUUAUUUAUUACUUAAAUAAUAAAAUAAUUAAUCAAUUUAUUAUUUAUAAUUAAUGAUUAAUAAUUUAAUGUAUUUAUCUAUAAACUAAUAUUUAUAUUAUCAACCAUUAAUAUUUUUAUUAAUUUAAUUAAUUUUUUUUACUAGUUACCUAGCUAAAAUUAUUUACUUAACUAAUUAAAAAGUUAAAUUAUUUUCAUUAUUUUAUAUAAUAUUCAUAGCUAACAAAUUUAUUAAUUUAUUAAAUUAUUUUUAAGAAUAUUUUGAUGUUAAUUAAUUAGAUAAAAUAAUUUUAAUUUAAAAUUAUAACUCUUAUUUUUCUCGUUUCAAUCUAACCAUCCAAAUAUUAUUUAUCUUAUCUGUAAGAACAAUUCAAUUUUUAUCCAAAUACAAAAUUAGUCUAAUUUCUGUUUAUAUUUGAACUUAUAUUUACUUCUGAAAUAAACAAUUUUUAUUGAUGUCUGAACCAAAGACAGUCGUAGUACCUUACUUUUGUAUCGCUCUUUUUUAAGAGAUAAAAUUAUCCCCUUCUGUUUUUUCGGUGAAGCAAAAUGGGUCAGUAAAUGCCGCUGAUCUAAGAUUGCAAAUCACGGCCCUCACCUUAAAAUUAAAUUUUAGGUCGUGUGCAAAAAUUUUCUGUACAUCUGAUUUGGACAUUGUAUGCUAGUGACGUGUCACUGAUCUAAGAUUUGAUCUAAAUUCUCGAGUCUAUCAAAAGCAACAUAAUUAUUGAUGUAACAAUAGAUUGUUUUUUUUUUUUUUUUUUGUGUGUGUGUUUAGCUUUCCAAAACCCCAUUAUAAAUGAUAUUUGCAUAUGAACCAAUAAAAACAAAUCUUCAUAUUAAUUAUGUCAACGCAUCAAGAAUAGGACAACACGUGUAACUCAUUGCUUCUAAUUACCAUCGCUUUCUUUUUAAGUCAACUAAAACCCUCUCUAACACAGGAAGCUUUCAAUGGUUCAAUCAGAAAUUUUUAUUUCGUACAAAAAUAUUAAAAUUAAAUUUCUUAAAAUAUCCAUACUAGAAUAUUAAAUUAUUUUAUUGUUUUGACUAAAACCUUUAUUUAUCUUUUCGUAAUAUAGGUGUUAACCCAAGUUCUUUAACAAAAACGAACGUUUCAACCACUACUCUAUCAUUCUAAUAUAUGUAUCAUAUUUUAAUAUAGGUGUUACUCCAUCUUUCUCUCUCUCUCUAUCUCUCUCUCUCUCUCUUUUUAGAGUUACAUUGGACAUUAUUAACAUUACUAUUUAAUUCAUUUUUUAUUAAGUUAUACAUGCAAACUUUACAGUAAUAAAACAAAAUAAAAACAUUAAUUUUUAGGAUAAAUUGAACAUUUGGUCCUCAAACUAUGAGGCAAGUGAUAGUUUAGUCUGCAAAUUUUAGUUUAUUGUAAUUUUUAAUUCGAAUCUUUAGUAUUAUUGUAAUCAAAUCGCAUAACCCAACUUAGAUAACUAAAUAUUGAUGCAUGGCUAAUUUAAAUACAAUGUGUCAUUUUGACUAGUGGCUAAUUAUAUAAAUCACAAUACUGUUACAUGCCACCAUCAAUUCUAUGUUUGCAAUAUAUUAACAUUUUGAUAAUUAAAUUUUAUUAUAAUAAUUUCGAAAGCUCGAGUAGAAAUGAUAAUAAAUUAAAAUUUGAGUACCAAAAUGGCAUAAAAGUCAUAGAUUGAGGACCAAAUGUGCAAUUUAUCCUAAUUUUUAUAUUAAAAUAACACUCUUUAUAAUCUAGCCAAUGAAAAAAUAGAAAAGAAAUAAAAAAACUUCAAAUACCACCAUUGUGGUUUUGCACUUUCUCAUUUUGUUACCCUGUGGUUUAAAAUGUAUCGAUUUAGUACUCUGUGAUUAUAUUUUUCUCUUUUUAUUGUACGUUCUACUAAUUUUUUCGUUAAAUUAGUGACAAAGUAAAAAUUAAAAAAUACUAAAAUGAAUAUUCGAUAAACCUAGAUGUGCUAUCUGAAGUUUUUUUAUACAUAAUUUAAUGAAAUAUUAACGAAGGAGCUGACGAAAAGGAAAAAAAUGAAACCACAGAAUAUUAAAUUGAUACACAUUAAAUUGUAAGAUACUAAAAUGACAAAAUAGGAAACUACAGGGUAAUAUUUGAAGUUUGCCCCAAAAAAAAAUAAAAUAAAAAUAAUCUUCGCUUUCCAAUAGAUUCCCUCCCUCCUCCAGCCCUCCUUCCACUCUCUAGCCUCUAUUUUUUUUAAUAAAAAAAAAAAAAAAAGGAAGAAGAAAAACCUCAGCUUCGUUGUUGGCAAUUGGCAAUAGGUAGCAUGGCGGCGGCAUCGGCGCAGGAGCAGCAGGCAAGGGAUGCGGAGAGCUGCAGGGCGAGAUGGGCGGGGGCGGUGUCGGCGGCGCUGCCGGGCGUGCCGGCGGGGCGGGCGUGGGCGCUGCUCUCCGACUUCUUCGCCAUCCAGCGCUGGCUCCCCGGGGUGGCGUCCUGCGAGCGCGCCGGCGGCGGGAGCGUGCGCCGCGUCGCGGACGCCAGCGGCGAGCAGUGGGCGCUGGAGGAGCUCCUCGCGACGGACGCGGCCGCGCGGAGCGUGCGCUACGCGGUGCUCGACAGCAGCCUCGGGCUCCGGGGCUACACGGCGACUUUAAAAGUCGCGCCGGAGGAGGAGGAGGAAGGGCGGGGCGGGGGUUGCAGGAUCGAGUGGUCGUUCGAGUGCGAGCCCGGGGAGGGGUGGAGCCGGGAGGGGUUGGCCGCGUACCUCCACGCCGGGGCCAAGGCCAUGGCCGAGAGGGUGGCUGCGGCGGUGCGCGCCGACGACGCCGCCGCCGCCGCCGCCGCCGAGGAGGAGGAGAAAGCGGAGAAAGUGACUAGCAAGUAAGUAAGUCUGUUGGUUCAGAUCGAGUCUGCAAAACUUAUAGAUCCGAUUAUUUUUGCUUUGUACCUCCUCCUCCUCCUAAAUAAGUAACAAUUUAAUUAGAGUUUAAUUCUUGAGGCAGCGCAUUCUCCUCUUUUUUUUUUAUUGUUUUUGGGUAAACUUUAAAUACCAUGCACAUGAUUUCACACUUUCUCAUUUUUUGUAAAAAAAAAAAAAUCAUAUGUACGCAACAAAAGAAAAUAAUGUAAUUAAAAAUUUUAAAAUCAAACAUCACCUGGUAUUUCACUUCAAAUCAUUAAUGAUUGAUCUAAUUGAUCUAAUCAAAUUAGAUUUAGUUUUUCACCUUGCGCGAGUCGAGAUCACCGAAAGUCGACAAUCGUUGGUAAAAUUGUUCGUCCUCACUUAGCCGUGCACUCGCCCGGCCUCUACUCGCGUCCACACGAAAUCACGCCUUCGAUCGAAUUAGAUGACCGCUUCGAUCUGUAAACCGAUCACGAAUUAACUCUUGCGUCGAUUUGAAAAAGAUGAAUUAAUUUACUAGAUGUGUUAGCAAUUUUUUGAAAAUCAAAACCGAUAUAUCAAUUGUGGAGGAGAGGAUUGACGGUUAGGGUUUUCUAUUUCUCUUGUAGUAUUUUAUGGUUUAAAAUGUAUCAAUGUAAUUUAUUAUUUUUUUUUUCGUCAGCCCCUCCGCUAACAUUUUGCUAAAUUAUUCACAAAUAGUUUUAGAAACCCUAUAUAUAAUUUAUCAAAUAUUCACUUUAGUAUCCUUUAGUUUUAUCUUUGUCACUAAUUUAACGAAAAAAAUUUGUGAAGGGAAUAAUAAAAAAUAAAAAUAAAAUCACAAGGGUAUGAAAAUGAUACACUUUGAACCACAAGGUACUAAAGUGAGAAAGUGCGAGUCCACAUAUGACAUAGAUGAUAUUUAAAGAUCUCUCUUAUUCUUUUUAUAAUUGAUAUUUUGGAUUCUAAGAUUGAAGUCUAGCUACUUUAUAUUUGUAGCUAAAUUUAUUUUUGAAAGUUUAUUAAAAUAUAUGGUUUACUAUCUUUCUCUAAAAUAAUAAUAAUAACAAUAAUAAUAAUAAUAAUACUAAUAAUAUUCUCUACUCUAUCCGAUAUAUCCAUUUCUAAAAUAAUUUAUAAUUUUUUUGAGAGAAAAAGAUAACAUACUAACCGCUUCAUUCAUUUUUUUAAAAAAUAAACUUAAGCUGAAAAUAUAAAUCAACUAGAAUUCAAAUUUGGGCCUUUAGAUACCAACUAUCAAGCUUUUUGUCACUUGCGUUUGGACGGCCGGUAUUUAUAACUUAUUAGUUAUUAACCGAUCGUUCCUAACGCAAGUAACAAACGAUUUAACGACUAACAUAUAAGAUAUUAAGUUUAAAAUUUAAUUACUUUGUAUUUUCAGCUAAAUUUAUUUUUUUAAAAAUAAAAUAUUUCUUUAUUACGAAGUUGCAUGUUAAUGUGAUUCGGGGGAAGCUACCGGUCAAAGGAUUAGUGCCUUGAAUUGCUAACUUUUGUUACAUCAAAAAAGCAAAAAUCACUAAUAUUUGGUGGUUGGAAUUGAUGCAAUGGUCUAAAAAACUACAAAAGUGGAGAUGCCUAGGAUGGAACCAUCUCUAAAAUCCCCACUUCCUCGAAUCUCGUAUGCUAAUAUUUUUAAAAUUAAAAUUUAAUUUGACAGAUAUAACAUAUGUUAUCUAAUCUACUUUGACAAAUAAGUUGUAUUUUCUUAAAAAAAUAUAUUACAUAGGCAAAAAAACAGUCUUAAAAUUAAUAGUUGAAAAUAUGCUCAUAUUAGUAUAAGAUUUUUCAUAUAUAGAACUUCUGAAUGUUAUGAAAUAUAAUAAAUAAAUUUAUUCUAAUUUUAAGAUUUUGUUAUAAAAUUUUUAAAAAUGGGGUGCAGGAAAUGUACUCAUUAUACACUGGUGCUAGCAAAAUUUCUUAUUUAAUUGCCACUAUCUCAUCACCACAGGAGCAAUGACACUGUUACAACUCUAUUUUAAUCAAAUUGGGAACCUUUUUUUUUUUUUUUUUCGUUUAGGAGAACGCAAAGGCUAUUAUUAAACUUGAUGAAGAGAUACAAACGCAACAAAUCCCUUAACGGAGGACCAAAACGAAACAACUUGAGAUGUAAUGCCCCGUCUAGUAAUUCUCAUCCUAAUCGAAAAUGUUUAGAUCCAUUAAUAACUCGUUGGACUUAAAUUAUCGGCUCAAAAUACUUAAACCAAUUUAUUAUUUUGGUUUACAAUAUUUACAUUUUUUUAUUUUAUUCUCACUCUCAUCUAAUUUGGGACUAUUUGCAACGUUACAAACUCCUCCGGUUAAAUCCUGAUGUUCUCAUCAGACCUCAUUUCUUAGACCAAGAUUGCUGGCCGAUGUGAGAUGCCUAUCUAAUAAUUCCCAUCAUAAUCGAAAAUAUUUAAACUCAUUAGCAUUAAUAACUCGUUGGACCUAAAUUAUCGGCUCAAAAUACUUAAACUACUUUAUUAUUAUUAGGGAUUAUGAUAUUUAUAACUUUCAUUUUAUUCCCACUCUCAUCUAAUUUGAGACUAUUUGGAACAUCACAAACUCCUCUCGUUAAACCCUAGCGUCUCGUCAAAUCUCAUUUCUAAACCAAGAUUGCUGGGCGAUGUGAGAUUGGCUCACAGUUCCGGCUGACAAACUAGUUCUGAGAUCAACUGUAACGAUCCGAUCUAUUAGUAUUAAUAAUUCGUUGUAUCUAAAUUAUUGGCCAAAAUAUUUUAACCCCAAUUAUUAUUAUUGUGGUGUAUGAUACUUAUAUUUUUUAUUCUAUUUUCAUUUUCAUCUAAUGUGGAAAUGUUUGGGACGUCACAGAUGUUGAGUCCGAAAAGAUUGCAAAAGCAUCGCGAACUCUAUUCAUGUCUAUCCACCACACAGCUAGCCGUUAGGAGUCUCUUUUAUCAUCUCUCCCUGUCAAUUGCGCUAACCUCAAUAGAUCAUGAUCACAAAAUAUAUAAAUGGUAUUUUCACAUGAGAAAAAGGAGGAAAUGUUUUUUUUUUUGGUAGAGAAUAAAUCUGUAGAUAAUUCGUUCAUUAAAAAAGUGAAACUUUGAUUACAAGCGAACAAUUUUAGAGAAGCAAAUAAAAACACAUUUUCACAAUUUCCAAAACUAAAUCCAAACCUAAGAAAUAAAAAAGGAAAGAUAUAUAGAUUGGUCUUCUAAACCUACACAUGUACUAAAAAAGUACAUCAAGCUUCUAAACUAAAAGCUUGUUGUCACGGUCUUAGUGUUUCUGUUCGCAAAACCCGUGCGGCGCCCGCCUUCCUGUUCAAAGAUGAGUAAGUCUUCAUCCCUGUUGCUAGUCUGAACCUUCGCGUCCUACGACUAAAUAUGCAAAAGGAAUGACAAAGAGAAAGAGGCGGAGAUUCUCUCAAAAAGCUAAGUACUACACUACUUUGAAAAUGAAAAUUACAACCUACAAACACAAUCUCUCUUGUGUGUUUUGGCCUUACCCAAACCUCACUAUUUAUAGGCUCUUAGAUACAUUGAAUCUAGCUUAUACUAACUCGCCAUUAAAGCAUCCAUUAACUCACCCUCGUAAUAAGCCAUAAGCCCAAGAGUCACCCUAUUAACUUUUGGGAGUUUCAUAAUCCUUGAGUUUCCAUCAUUGAUGGAAGAAGUUACAAAACCCUUCGUCUUCCCACAGCAGGUUGGGUUCGGGUCUCUUUAACGACCCGCUCCGCUAGCAGAUUUGGGCUACUGUCAAGGAGAAGUCAGCGGGAAACAUUUUGUCCGUGACAUUCUUUCCAACCAAACGCGCAGGCGCCCUCGUCGCGCACCGAGUCGCUCUCGGUCCGUAUAGCCUUCCGCGCGAUCCGUUGUGCCUUCGCGCCCGAACAGCCCUGUUCCUCGCUCACAAUGUCCACAUCUGUCUCCGCACCAGCACCUAGUGCCUUGCCCCUCUGAGCAAGUGCACCAGCGAGCCUGCUGUGCGAAGAGUUCACCGGAUGUGCAUGUCCUCCGCGACACGCACGCGCACUCUGCCAACCUGCAGAAUGCCCCGAGUGUGCAUGUCCUCUGCGACACCUACGCAUACUCCGCCAAGCUGCAGAACGCCUUUUGGUCCUCGCAUGCUCCUUGACAAAAUGACUUGCACUUUGCUUGGACGCUAUCCAUUUCAACGCCACAUGAGACUUGACAGUCUUACUGCUGCUCAGGCCUUCCUCCGCGAGGUCCUUAGCCUUCCCGCGCUUCACCUCCUUGUAAAGCUGCAGGGCAGUAAGGGUUGAACUCUCGUUGCGCCUUUUUACGUCCCCUAUAUCACGGCAAUCUCCCCCACCUUUGGCCUCGCUCGCCUUUGGUGUUUCACCUCGAUCGCUCUCGGUUCGCUCAGGUAGUGACUCCCUCGUCUUAAGGUCCUCGACCUCCUUGACCUCGACACCGAUGUCCUGAAGCAGCACAUCUCGCACAUCCCGUUCGUUGUUGCGACGGGCAAGGCUCACCUUGAACUGCUCCAGACGAUGGCGGAAUGUUGCCAUAGUUGCAACAAUAUCUAUCUUCAUCAAAUAAAACCCAUCCUCCAACAUCCCCAUAUGUUGGGAUAGGUCGGAGUAGCGCUCCUCCGCGCUCGCAGCAGAGUCCUCCAGCACGCCUACGCGGUCAUCAAGCAAGACGGACUCUCUCGCCAGAGUCCGCGGCUCCUUACUCUUGCCGUGCUUGGUUGCCCUGGACUCAGGCACAACGUCAACGACGACAGUUUCCGACGAAAACAUGGUUCCUCCUUUAACCGGCUCUGAUACUAACUGUCACGGCCUUAGCGUUUCUGUUCGCAUAGCCCGUGCGGCGCCCGCCUUCCUGCUCGAAAAUGGACAAGCCUUCGUCCCUGUUGCUAGCCUGAACCUUCGCGUCCUAUGACUAAAUAUGCAAAGGGAAUGACAAAAAGAAAGAGGCAGAGAUUCUCUCAAAAAGCUAAGUACUACACUACUUAGAAAAUGAGAAUUACAACCUACAAACACAAUCUCUCUUGUGUGUUUUGACUUUAGCCAAACCCCACUAUUUAUAGGCUCCUAGAUACAUUGAAUCUAGCCUAUACUAACUCGCCAUUAAAGCACCCAUUAACUCACCCUCAUAAUGAGCCAUAAACCCAAUAAUCACCCUAUUAACUCUUGGGAGUUUCAUAACCCUUGAGUUUCCAUCAUUGAUGGAAGAAGUUACAAAAUCCUUCGCCUUUCCAUAGCGGGUUGGGUUCGGGUCUCUUUAACGACCCACUCCGUUAGCAGAUUUGGGCCACUGUCAAGGAGAAGUCAGUGAAAAAUAUUUUGUCCGUGACACUGUGAUGGAAAUAAAAAACAAAAUAAAGGCAAAUACAAGGGAAAAGGCAAUUAUCCUUAUCUCGAUCUAGCUCCUGAUUUCGAACCACAUCAAAAUAUUUUCUUUUUUGAAUCUACCAAAUUUCAAAGAAUGUAUGUGAAGACCCCGAUGUCCAGCAAAAACAGAAGAAGGAAAGAUUCAAAUAUAGGAAAAAACAAGUAUGAAAAAGACAAAAAUUUAUUUAAAUGACUGUGUAAAAUAAAAACAUAUGGAAAAUAACAACUCUAUACAACUUUAGGCUACAAGGCUUCUCCACAUCUUAUUCCAUCUCCAAGAAUAGAAUUUUACAUCAAUUAAAUAGUAUUUUGCAAGCCAGCAGUCUUUGUCAAUAGUGUUAUGUUAUGUCAAGGAAAGAGACAUAAACCUAGUUUGGUAAUAUAACGGCUAAAAUUACUACUUUUAUAUUAUCAACGAUUCAAAAUAUUUAAAAGUAUUUUUAACUUUUCUUUCUAAUACUGUAAAAUUAUAAUUGAAAUUGUGAACCUAUUGUAAUUUUGUAGUAUUGGAGAAAAAAAAGAUUGGAAGCUCUUCUAAAGCUUUUGAUCCUUCAAAGCAUUAAAAAGAUAUUUUUAACUGCCAAAUUACCAACUUGGAUUAUAGAAAUUUAAGAAAAUUUUAUAGAAUGCUUCAUGGUUUAGCCAAAGCUAGUCUAUUUAAUUUACAAACAUGUAGUUUAAAGCGUAACACUUUAUCUCCUAUAUUUGUUAUUUUGACUUUUCAUUAGAACUUAGUUAGCAUCAAAUUAAGCAGCAAUGCAGCAUUAAAAGUGUGAUCUCCAUAAUAUGUGAUCUAGGUAAAAUUUUGAGAUAUCAUUUUUAGUAAAUUUGGCCUAUUAUACUAUAUAUAGCACUUUAUGGUUCAAAAUUAGUUCAACUUUACUAUCCGAGUUGAUGAUAUUUUAGUACUUGAUCUUUAUCAAAAACUGCCAAUUCAUAGGCCAACCGAACCUGUAACUAAAAAUACUUUCUCAAGUUCUCGCAAAUUUGGAUUACACACACACACACACACACACACACACACACACACACACACACACACACACGAUCUCCUCUACUUUCGAAAGUACGAAAAUUUUUAGUGCUUGUAAUUUAUUUUCGAUGAUGGGACAUUUGAUUUGACAAUCAAGUCCAUUAGGCAUAAUUUACGUUAUUGGAACUAUCUAAAAACCAAAUUUAAUAAUUUUUUGAUAUUAUUUAUCAAGCUAUCCAAAGGUUUUAAAAUGACUAUUUUAACGGUCAACAUGGCACAUUUUUAAGUUCAAUGAUAUAAAACAAUUCAAAUUAUAUGAAACUUUAAUAAAAAAAAUCUACCUAAAAUCAAUAAUAAGAUCAAUACUUCAGAUUUAAAAUUUGAGUCUUUUAUUACUUUUUUUUAUAAAAUUUUUAUUUUCAGUUGUCCAUUUUAAGGCUACUCAUUCACUAGGUAAAUGAAGUCAAAAAAUUAUGAAAUUUGCUUUCUAGAUAGUUCCAAUAGCAUAAAUCAUAUCUAAUGGAACCGAACUCCAAAUUGAAUGUCCCAUUAUCGAAAAUAAUUUGGAAGCAUAGAGACCUCUGUAUUUUUAAAAGCAUAGGAGCCUAGUUCUAUAUAUCAUUUUUGAUGGAAAGCACUAUGAGUUAAAUAUAUCACACUAUAUAUUCCUGCGUCCAUUAGGUGCAUUUUUCGUGCAUAAAAAAUUUAUGUUCCCUAUUUCUAUAAUGUGAAAUGAGAUAAUCCCUAACGUGUAAUUUCAUGCACGAUUUAAAACUCCCUGUUAGUUGCUCCAUCACACCAACUCAUGAAAUUAUUCCCCUCUUGGACCACAAUUUGAUAGUGAUAUGUCUACAGUUUUCUUUUCUCUUUUUUGGUUUUUUUUGUUCUCUCUCAAGCACUAAAAACCACACACGCAGUUUUAAAACUUGACUUUAUUUGUUGACUCACUGUGAGUGUAUUUGCACCUCACAAAUGCUAUAGACGUACUUUCCACGCUGUAGUCGUCGACGUAGCCGAGACGUGUACGUUGCGAAUAUUUAUGAAAAAUUUUAUUACGCAACAUUAACGAUGAUAUUUGUAACAGUUGACCACUUCUAAAGAUUGUGUUAACUCAAUAAGAUACAAAUUCGAAUCAUGUUUAAGCGAAAAAUGUAACUGUGUUGUGGCUUAUUAAGGUUUUAUUCCAAAAGGAAAAUGAAAAAAGAUCGCUUCCUUUUUUAAAAAAAUAAACAGGUUAAAAUAUUUGGAGACUCUCUCAAAGAUGGGCUUUUUUGAAAUAGGCCCUUGCACAAAUUCUUUUUUAUUUGUUAACUAGCAAGCGAUUAACCCGCACUGCCACUGAGAACAAGUUAGAGCUGUGGAUUGGGCAAAAUUACUAACUAAAACAAUAAAACUUUCUAGUUUAAUUGACUGAUACUUUAAACUGAAACAAAUAAAGCUAAAAGAACAUUCGAAAAUUAUAAUAAAGUUCAGAGACCUAUUUCUAAAUAACCGAUGUAGUUUAUGAAGUCUCAACAUUUUUACCUUUACUAGAACCUCCACAGUAGCAUCUUAUUCCAGAAAAAAUAAAAUAUUGAAUUAGAACUUCUACUUCUGUUGUGAAGUUAUGCAUCAGAAUUUUCAAAAGAGGCGAUAUUCUCCCCCACAUGGUUACAAAAUAAAAGCAGAACAAGGCAUUAAUCCUCUUAUAUAUUGGUGUAGAACAUCACAAGCACAGAAAUAUACUGUUCAUUUGAACUAAACUGCAUCCUAGCAUUUAUACAAAUACAUAAUUUCCAAUCUUACACAAAUCGUAAUCCCUUUCACAUUUUAAAAUAACAGACAAAUACACACAGAGAUAAAUCUAUUUAAUCUAGUAAGAAAUAUGCCCUUGCUUUUGCCAGGCAUUUUGUCACGAAAAGCCGUGAGCCAAAAUAUGUGUGGUAGUAUUUAAAAACUUCAUAAGCUUUGCUGUUUCAAUUUCUUCUCCAUCCAGUAUAUAAUAUCCAAGCCAAUUUCAUCUCGCUCUGGCUCGAAUAGUAAAUCGUGUAAGAAGCCGUCAUAGAGCCUUAUAUCCUUGUAUGUUGAUGGGGCCUCGUUGUACAAAUCUUGAGAAGCCAAUGGGUCAGUCACCCGAUCGGCCGUUCCGUGGAGGACGAAGAAUGGGACAGUCACGGACUUAAUGUUCUGCAGCAAAUAAGAUGACAUGCGAAGUAUCUCAUGGCCCGUCCUAACCCUAAUUGGACCUGUGUAGACCAAAGGAUCAGUGUAUUUGGCUAUCAUAGCUGCGGGGUCCCUUGAAACAGGAAUGCCCCUUUUGUUCGCUCCCUUGAAUUGGAACUUUGGGGCUACAAGCGAAAAGAUUGGUGCCACAGCCUGCAGAAAAAGAUAAAGCGUAUCAUUAAUUAUAGCUGUUCUUGUUAGAGAAGCAAAAGCAAAUUGAGCGAUUGUUUAACAUCAUCUACAAGCAAAUAUAAUCUAGGAUGCAGCAAACCAUAUAUAUAUCAAUGUCACUGUUCCCAACUUCAACACCCAUGUUAAAUUGAAAUCUAUAUGUUACCAGAUUCCCGUCAAUUACAACAUUCAUCUCUCUGUUUAUCGGAGAGUUUCCUGUAUAUUAUAGACUAAUGAGAAUUAGCAUGUCUCACAUGCAAGAAAAUGGUGAUAGUGGAUAUUACCCCAACUAUAGGAUGAGCAGGCUUUACUCGCAAUGCUGGUGAGGUGAGUAUAAUUCCUUCUAUCAUGGCUUCAAUAUGAGGAUAGGAUGCCGCCUGAAAAAAAUUGUAAAGACACUGCUUAAGAAACCAAGAAACAACUGAAACUCAACCCAAAAUGAAAUAAUUUCUAUAUGAAUACUACCUUCACAACAACAGCUCCACCGGUAGAAUGGCCAAAGAGGAAACAUGGAACACCAGGAUUCUCCAACUUAAUUUUCUCCAGGAACAUUAUCUGUUUAUUGCCAUAUAAUUAAAUCCAGCAUCAGAUAAGCAUAAAUGUUCAGUUUCAACUUUUGAAAACUUUCAAAUAAUUGGAAAGGAAAGAAACUUACUGUGUCUUCAACAACAUAAUCUAAUGAAGGUACAUAUCCAUGCAAUCCAUCGCUUCCACCAUGGCCUGUCAAAGGAAUGUUAGUUUACUUUUUUUAUUUCAAUGUAAGUUUCCAUAAUUUAUGACUUUUUGAGGAUAGCAAUCCAGAAGCAUGAUUUAGACUAAUUGACAUAAGGAAAUUGGAGAUAAAAAGCAGCAUGAUCUAGAAGGAAAAGAAAAAGUUCUCUCUCUCAAAUAAAUUUUUAAAAAAAGGAGGGAUAAAGCAUUGAUUCCACCGGGAACUGAUUCCACAAGAGUGAUGCCAUCAGAAUAUGAAACCUUUUGCUUUCAGGGAGAACCACUGAACCAGCUAAAAAGAGAAAUAUCAUGCAUUCAAUAAUGAAGUAGAACUGUACCCACCUAUCCAAUCCAUUGCAUAUACUCCAAAUUGGCAUGAUGUUAGCUGCUCUGCAAAAUGUACAUAUCUUCCACUGGCAAAAAGAAAAAUCAACAUGUAUCAGAUAAGGUUCUCAAUAACUAGGAUAUUAUUUCUUUUGAUAAAAGGCACCUUUUGCAAUUGGCUGCUGCUUCAGCAUAUAUCCAGGCAAAAGUGUAGAAUUUAGAGAAGAAUAAAUAUGAAGACAGGAUCAAUAUAAGAUUAUAUGGUCAUUGUUCUCAGGCUUUUUAAGCGAAUUGACCAAAUUAGCGUAUCCAAUAGCAAAUUGGAUGUCGCCGGAGAGCCUGCCACCAUUAGCUAUCAAAGUCUAAGUGUGACUUUGUGUGAGCAAAAUUACAAAAUUGAUCGGAAAGUAUGGUCAUAACUUGCUCACCUAUGCUCAUUGAGCCCAUGUAUAACCAAUAAAAUACCCCUGAAAAAAUUAAUUAAAAAGAUCAGUGAACAAUGAUUUUAAGGUACAAAAAAUAAAGAAAAUCAGUAACAAAUUAACUUAAAUGAAACAUGGAACAUCGUCGCAAUUGUAUAUCGCUCCAAGAAAAAAAAUUCUUCAACUAUGUAUAUCGCACGUAGGAAAUGGAAUAUGCAAACUUUCUAAUGAUAAAAGAGAUUAAAGAAAGAAAAUAUUUAUCCACAGUUUUCAUAGCAAGAUUGUGAUAUGAGACUUAUAUGCAAAAGUCGACAAUCAAACAUUUAUAGUUUGCCUCUCCACAUACUGCAUUUAUAUUAAGAAACAUAGGCAAAUAAGAAAUAUAGUAAGCAACUUGAAUGGUUAGCAUGAAGAGAAGAAGCAAUGCGUGUAUAGCUCACACAUUCUAGUGUAUGCUCUAGGUAAUACCAAGAGCCCCUGAGCAAUCAAGCUCUCAACGGCCACCAAGAUAUUCUGCCUUGCUAGUAACUACCUACUACCUACUCCUAACAAGACAACAAUCGAAGCAAGCACCAGCAUGCGCCUUAGCUGGGUAUUUGCAUGAGAAUGAUCUGAUGUCACACCUAAGGGGUUGGCGUGCCUUUAACAAAAGGCAUUGUUUGGCCUGAGAAAUGGAAGGCGUAGAACAAGAGGGUCAGUACUGCUGGUUACCACAUUAGAUGGAGGCUUCGACUAGCUUAAUUUUUCCAAAGGGGUGGCGUAACUUCCCACAAAUAUGUGAAACUGCAUGAAGUAAAUUCAGAAUCUGCAAAUUGCUGAAGAAAAGAGACAACAAUGGCCCAGACUUUUCCAACAAACAAAGAGAAAUUUGGAUGGUUUUGAGGAAACUACAAAAUGGUAUCAUGACGAAAUCAAUUGUACCAUCACUCAUGCUAACUAGGAUGGGACCAUUGCAACUAACGUAUUAAGUUAAGCAGGGGAUAAGUAUGCUUAUAUAUAACUGACACUCUGCUCCAGGAUUGAACUAAAGAAACAUGUAACACUGAAAAAAAGAGAAAAUUUCUAAAAUAGGAUUGAAAAUUAUUGAAUAGUACAUUUUAAAUUAUUUGCCGCAACAAUUGAUGGCAACCUGUGCAAGGCAACUACUUGGAUCACUCAAAAAAAUUUUAAAAAAGAGUAAUCAAAUGCAUUCCGCAUGUGUACUGCCUUAAAGGGACAACCACAAAACAUCAAAGAAAAAGUGCUCCUACGUUAAAAGAACAAUUUGUAUUAAACUUGGUAUAGCUAAUUAGUCAGCUCUACCAAAUAUCACUCUUCUCAACAGCUUUCAUGUCAAGCAAUUGAACAUAUAAACACCUGAUUACUUGCAAUAUUUCCAACGAAUUUCGCACCAGAAGAGACACUUGAAGAGCGGAGAUUGGAAGCCUUUUUAAGAAGCUAAAUUAUGUUAAAACGAUUCUACCGAUGAGGUAAACAAAUUUUGCAGAUUUUACCGUAGAAUUGCGGAUUUUACAAUAAAAUUGAAGACGCCAUAGCAGCCCAAAAAAUUAAUCAGAACAAUACAUAGGACCAGGAAAAGGAGUCAACUAGAACAAAAUAAAAGAAGCAAUGAUCAGCAAAUGUCACUAUAUAGGCGAGGAGGUGAUGAUCAGAGUACCGCAAGCAUUACACUUUCGUGAACAAUUUGUUCCAGUCACCGAGCACGAUCCGGCCUAAAAUUUGCAUUUGCAUGUAGUUUAUGGAAAGGAAUUGGGGCACAAUCACCUAAUCACAGGAUAGAAAAGCGAAGCUAGAAUGCGAGGGGGGGAAAAAACCCUCCGAGUAAGAACGAAACCCUAAUCCCAAGGAUCCGAUCGAGAGUCGAGACCUCACCUCAUGUCGCCCGAGGCCGGGACCCACGACCGGCAAAAGAGCGCGUUCCUCCUCGGCCCCGCGAGCACGAAGGUCUCCCACCUACAGCGCCCCCAACCCCCACCCUCUCCCCCGCCGCCGCCGCCGAGAUCGGACGACUCGGCCAUGGGCACCUCCUCCGCGAGCGCCCUCCGCCGCCUCACGUCCUCCUCCUCCGCCGCCGCCGCCGCGGCCCUCCAGCCCCUCCGUCGACCCCCUCCCGCCCCCUUCCGCCGCGGCGACGAGAGCGGCGGCGCCGCCCUGGAGCUCCGUCGGAGGAGGAGCAGGAACCCUAGGAGGAUGGAGUAGACGAAGACGAAGAAGCGGACGAGCGCCGCGCGGGAGAGCACGGAGCGGCGGAUGUUCCUACAAACCGGAAUUAUGCGGCCGCUCGCGCCGGAGGUGAGCUCCUCCACCUGUUGUACACUCCUCUCCAUCGUUAUCUCCUCUAUUUCUCCCCUUUUCCACAGCGACCGCUUCUUCUUAAUUCGUAUAAAUGGAGAUGGAGAUGGAGAAGGAGAAGGAGAAGGAGAAGCGCAGAAGAAAAGAGAAGGAAACAUAUAUAGGAAACGAAAGGGUGAUGGGUUGGGGAUCGAUUCCUUGUAUCGGUUUCAGCUUAUUUUUUAUAAAAUUUGAAAAUUAGAGGAUGAAAUUUGCAUGAGGAACCCUUAACUACAGUCUAUUUUAACGACGCCGCCUCAUUUCCUUAUUACUAAUUUUCUAACAAUUUUUUUUUAAGAGAGAGAUGGUCUACUAUUUUAUUCGUUUUUUAGAAAUAAAUUUUAGUUAAAAAUAUGAAGUAAUUAAAUUUAAAAUUUAAAUUUUUGAAUACUAACUAUCAAGUUCUUUAUCACCUGCACUUAAAAAUAGGUUAAACUUUUAUACUUCUUAAUUUUAGUUCUUUAAAGGAUUUUAGAAUAUUGUAAAAUGCUUGACAAUACUAAACCAAAAAACCUAUAAGUUAUAAAAAAAAUAUAUUUUUAAUUGAUUAUAGAAAUUAUAUUUCAACAAUUCUAUGCAGCUUACAUAAUGUAUUAUUGCUUACAUAAACAAAUAAAAUAUUUUUAUCUAUAUUUUUAUUUUCUACUACACCAUGUCUUGGUCAAGUAUUUUCAAAAUGUUAUGAUAUCUUCUAAUAAUUAAUUAAUAGCCCUACCUGAUUAAUAAUUAACAGUUAAUAGAUCUAUCAAACAUAAUAAAGAAUUUUACUUAAAAGUUACAAAUAUUAAUAACAAACUAAAUUUGAGGAUCCUUUUUCAGACCAACUAUAGUUGAGGGGCCUCGGUUUAAUUUGAUGUAAUUCGCUCUUUCGAACAUUAUUAAUUUGGGGUGUUGGAAAAUAGGGGGAUAUUGCGUAUGCUGGUGACGCGCCGGGGGGCGAUCUUAAAGCACGCGUUUGUGGGGAUUACGAUGGGCCACGUGGACUUUGGCGGUUCCGUGUGGCGGUGGUUCGCGCGAAUUACGGGGAUUUCGGAGGGUUUAUUUGUAAAAAAAAGUUAUGUGUCCCUCGCUUUAUACGAUCGGAGACGAAGUUGUGGGCCCCGAUCACGUGGGGUCCACAUGAAAGGGUCAGGACCAUGCGGUUGAUCUCGACCGUUGAUUGGACGCUCGAAUCGAGGCAGGUGGGAACGGGCCGUCCAAUGACCGGAGGAAGGGGGAUUGGACGGUGCUGAUGUGGAUUGGGGUGGUUGAUUUGUAUCGUAUUGGACGGUCGAGAAUUUGCCCGGGGGUGAAUGGAUGCGGUCCACAGUGUCAGCGGUCCCGUGGUCCGUACGGGACAGCGUCGAGAAAAUCGGGAGCACGGUGGACCAAGUGCGCUUCAAUGCCAUCGCUUUGUAAUUUAGUCCCUAUAGUUUUAAUGUUUCAAACAUCCCUAUUUUUAUAAAUUUUAGAAAAAAAUAAAUUUUAUUUAAAAUAACCUUUUUAAGCCCGAUAAUAAAGUUUAGGACCAACUCAUACUACCGGAAAAGUAUAGGGACUAUACAUGAAGUUUGCCCCCUAAUAAAUUGUAUUCAAAUAUGGGUGAGGGCAAAAGCAGCACAUACUUGACUCGGUCUGGUCCAGGUCUAGGUUAACAGUUAUGUUAGGUGGCUAAUUGGACGCAAUAAUAAAUUGUGCUUCAACAUACAUGGGCCGUAAAUAGCAGGUCAUGACUCCGUUUUGUCCAGUUCUAAAAAUAGAACAAAAGUUAGGUUAGAAAAUUAUGGCAUACAGAGCCAUCACCAAUAGCCUACUAACUCAGAGAGACCGUCGUAGUCUUUAAUUAUAAGUAUAUAUGAUUGGGUUAAAAUUAUUCUUUUGUCGAUACAGAGGCAGAACUAGACAGGGGACCAAACACUUGGCUCUAUUUCCGCUAUAAAAUAAAGUGAAAUAACGCAACCUUAGCGUCGUGAAUCGCUCAAUAUCUAAUCUUCAAAGGGCGUCGAUAUUAUUAGGCAAAAGCAUUGACUAUUGCUACGAAUAAGAUAAUGAUAAUACAAUAAUAAUAACAAUAUUAUUAUUAUUAUUAUUGUAUUAUCAUACAUACCUCCACAUUUUGGGCCGACAAACAGUUUCGACGAAUUUUGUUUUCGUUAAUGGGCUGCACAAUUUUGGGCUGACUUUGAAAGGGCUGUAUCUUUGGGCUUGGCCAUAAAUAGGUUGGGCCAAAGAGGCUUUUUAAUUGGGCCUUCACUGUUGUUGUUGGGCUUCAACAAGACACUAUAUUUGGGCCAGGUCUAAUAGUGCAAUUAAUCAAAAUCAUUUGCGGAUUAAGUAUCAUCAUUUUGCAUCUACUACCUUGUUCCACAUUGGCUCUUUUGGUGUUUUGGGGGUGAGACCACGGAUUACGGUGUGUAAUCAUAUACUGUUUCUGUGCACUGCACUGUUGUUCGUAUAUAGGCGGCUUGUUUAACUUUGUUUAUAUUUAGUGUUGCUUCUAUUUUUACAAUCAGAUGGCUACCGCAUAAUCUUUUUAUGACUAGCGUGGUACAUAACUUGGGUAUAUCUAAAGAUAACAUCCCUGUUGUUGUAUGAAACUUUAAUUUGAUUAGUUAAUCUCAAGUGACCCAUUGGAAAAACUAAUCAUCAAAAAGAGGAUCGAGUACGUGUAGAGAGAAAUAACUAUGCUACGUGACAAAAUAUCAUAUAAAUGUUUUUUUUUUUGAUAUAUAGGUAGCACGCUGCCCGCUUCGUUUAUUUCAUUUAGAAAUAAACUUAGCUGGAAAUGUGAAUCAAUUAGGAUUCGAAUUUGAAACCUCGGAUACGGACCACCAAGCCUUUUGCCACUUGCUUUAGGGACAGUCAGUAAAUAUCAUAUAAAUGUUAGCUCUUCACGAAAGGAGAAAGAUACAGAGCAGUAUAGUCCAAGUUCAAUGGUAAAGUAUAACAAGGUUGAACCUGUUUCCUGUGAUCUCUACGUAGUAGUAGCUGUUGAGCUCACUCUCUUUGAUCCUGCAUCUGCCACAUUGCUCACGCUGGGUAAUCCUUGCAGGGCCAUCAACCUUUUUCGCCAUCUCUCGGAUCUGCUCCCAUAUUUGCUUUUAGCAGCAGCAAUUUAACAAAAUAUUUGAUAAAUAUGAACGUAUAUACGGAGCUUCUAUAACGAAAGUAGAAAUAAAAUUAUGUACGUCUCAAAAGCAAAACAGACUAAUCUAUUUUUAACUAUAUAACACUUUUACUAAUAGGGGUAGAAAUUACUGUAAACCAAGCUUUUUUGUUUUUUUGGGGAAUAAGGAUGUGUCUUUUAAUAAAGCUUAAACUAUUAGAGGAUAAAUUUUUAUUUGAAUGCAUUUUUUUUCACGUCUAGGCACGACAGUUUCUAAUAACUAGGCUUGAAUUAAAUAAGAUUAGAGUUAGCUAUGUUUCACAGAUAUUUCUAUUAGUCUCGCUUAUCCUUGUCUAAUUAUAUGCGCGUGUGUCUGUGUUGGAUUCAUAUCAGUGUCCUGAGUUUUUAAAAACUAUCGAGUCAUCGUAUC
rnacentral:lncRNA from 1 species